GACGAACGCUGGCGGCGUGCUUAACACAUGCAAGUCGAACGGAAGGGCCCUGCUUUCGUGGGGUGCUCGAGUGGCGAAAGGGUGAGUAACACGUGAGUAACCUGCCCUUGACUUUGGGAUAACUUCAGGAAAAUGGGGCUAAUACCGGAUAGGAGCUCCUGCUGCAUGGGGGGGGGUGGAAAGUUUCGGGGGUUGGGGAUGGACUCGCGGCUUAUCAGCUUGUUGGUGGGGUAGUGGCUUACCAAGGCUUUGACGGGUAGCCGGCCUGAGAGGGUGACCGGCCACAUUGGGACUGAGAUACGGCCCAGACUCCUACGGGAGGCAGCAGUGGGGAAUAUUGCACAAUGGGCGGAAGCCUGAUGCAGCAACGCCGCGUGCGGGAUGACGGCCUUCGGGUUGUAAACCGCUUUCGCCUGUGACGAAGCGUGAGUGACGGUAAUGGGUAAAGAAGCACCGGCUAACUACGUG
rnacentral:rRNA from 1 species